UCCCGGUUAACCCGGGCAGUCUCAUUAGAGUUCCCACCUUCACGUGUUGGCAACUAAUGAUAAGGGUUGCGCUCGUUGCGGGACUUAACCCAACACCUCACGGCACGAGCUGACGACAGCCAUGCAGCACCUGUGCAGCAGUCCUUGCGGAAGAUACCAUCUCUGGUACUGUCUACUGCAUGUCAAGCCUGGGUAAGGUUCUUCGCGUUGCAUCGAAUUAAACCACAUGCUCCACUGCUUGUGCGGGUCCCCGUCAAUUCUUUUGAGUUUCAGCCUUGCGACUGUACUCCCCAGGCGGUAUACUUAACGCGUUAGCUACGGCACAACUAGGGUUGAUUCCAGUUACACCAAGUAUACAUCGUUUACGGCAAGGACUAC
rnacentral:misc_RNA from 1 species